rnacentral:rRNA from 1 species
CCUACGGGAGGCAGCAGUGAGGAAUAUUGGUCAAUGGGCGGAAGCCUGAACCAGCCAAGUAGCGUGCAGGAUGACGGCCCUACGGGUUGUAAACUGCUUUUAUACGGGAAUAACGCGCCUUACGUGUAGGGCUUUGCAUGUACCGUAUGAAUAAGGACCGGCUACUUCCGUGCCAGCAGCCGCGGUAAUACGGAAGGUCCGGGCGUUAUCCGGGUUUAUUGGGUUUAAAGGGAGCGUAGGCCGCAUGUCAAGCGUGCUGUGAAAUGUCCGGGCGCAACCCGGGCCUUGCAGCGCGAACUGGCGUGCUUGAGUGCGCGGAAGGCAGGCGGAAUUCGUGGUGUAGCGGUGAAAUGCUUGGAUAUGACGAAGAACCCCGAUUGCGAAGGCAGCCUGCUGCAGCGGAACUGACGCUGAUGCUCGAAAGCGCGGGUAUCGAACAGGAUUAGAUACCCGUGUAGUC